rnacentral:rRNA from 1 species
UACGGAGGGUGCAAGCGUUAUCCGGAUUCACUGGGUUAAAGGGUGUGUAGGCGGGCUGUUAAGUCAGUGGUGAAAUCUCCGGGCUCAACCUGGGAACUGCGUUUGUGACUGUAUGACUAGAGUACGGUAGAGAGGGGUGGAAUUCCUGGGUGUAGCAGUGAAAUGCGUGAGAUAUCAGGAGGAACAUCGAUGGCGAAGGCAGCCCCUUGGACCUGUACUGACGCUCAUGGCACGAAAGCGUGGGGAGCAAACAGG